AGGGGCAUCUAUGGGGCAGCCAUGGGGAUCACGGCCCUAUGGGGCAGCUAUGGGGCAGCUAUGGGGGUCACGGCCCUAUGGGGCAGCUAUGGGGCAGCUAUGGGGCAGCUAUGUGGAUCACGGCCCUAUAGGGGCAUCUAUGGGGCAGAUGGGGGUCACGUCCGUAUGGGGGCAUCUAUGGGGCAGCUAUGGGGAUCACGGCCCUAUAGGGGCAUCUAUGGGGCAGAUGGGGGUCACGUCCCUAUGGGGGCAUCUAUGGGGCAGCUAUGGGGAUCACGGCCCUAUGGAGACAUCUAUGGGGCAGCUAUGGGGCUCAUGCCCCAAUAGAGGCAUCUAUGGGGCAGAUGGGGGCUGGCAGCGCUAUGGGGCGCCCCACAUCCCCCCUCCCUCUCCCCCCCCCUCCCCCCCCAGCUGCCCCACAUCCCCCAUUGACGCUGAUGGGCCCCGACACUUAUGGGUCGCGGUUACGUCACCCCAUGGGGCGCCAAGUAGGGCGCCCCCCGGAGCCCCCAUUAAAAAUAGCCCAAAGCCCUCAUUAGCAAUUAGGGGGGAUUAGCAAUUAGGGGCCCCACGGCGGGGCCGCCCCAUAGCGUCUAUGGGGAGCUGCCCCCUAAUCCUUCCCACCCCCCACCCCAUAAUCCCGGAUUUUCGGGGUCGCUUCGGGGGAGCCGCGAUUGGGGGCAGCGGAUCCUAAGCUGCACACGGGGAAAAGGGAGCUUGGGGGGCGGGUGUGGGGCGGGUGUGGGGUGGGGCGGAUGUGGGGUGGGUGUGGGGCGGGUGUGGGGCCGGGACCCCAAAGUGGUCGUCCCAUAANCGGGUGUGGGGUGGGGCAGAUGUGGGGUUGAUGUGGGGCGGAUGUGGGUCAGAUGUGGGGCGGGUGGAGGGCGGAUGUGGGGCCGGGACCCCAAAGUGGUCGUCCCAUAAUGGAGGCAGGUAGGCGCUAUGGGGUGGAGGUGGUUGUGGGGCGGAGGUGGUUGUGGGGU
rnacentral:lncRNA from 1 species